GACGAACGCUGGCGGCGUGCUUAACACAUGCAAGUCGAACGAAAAGAGGGAAAGAGCUUGCUCUUUCCGGAAUUGAGUGGCAAACGGGUGAGUAACACGUAAACAACCUGCCUUCAGGAUGGGGACAACAGACGGAAACGACUGCUAAUACCGAAUAAGUUCCAAGGGCCGCAUGGCCCAUGGAAGAAAAGGUGGCCUCUACCUGUAAGCUAUCGCCUGAAGAGGGGUUUGCGUCUGAUUAGCUGGUUGGAGGGGUAACGGCCCACCAAGGCGACGAUCAGUAGCCGGUCUGAGAGGAUGAACGGCCACACUGGAACUGAGACACGGUCCAGACUCCUACGGGAUGCAGCAGUGGGGAAUCUUCCGCAAUGGGCGAAAGCCUGACGGAGCAACGCCGCGUGAGUGAUGACGGCCUUCGGGUUGUAAAACUCUGUGAUCCGGGACGAAAAGGCAGAGUGCGAAGAACAAACUGCAUUGACGGUACCGGAAAAGCAAGCCACGGCUAACUACGU
rnacentral:rRNA from 1 species